ensembl:lncRNA
CGUCUCCCGGUGAUGGACAAUCACCUCACCCACUGCCAGUGGGUUGACUAUUAACGAGCUUGAAAGCAGCCACCAUCUUGAGCGCCCAUCCUCUCGACAGGAGGUGGUUCAUGCCAAGGAGGCCACUACUUUUGUGGUCACCGCCCAGGACUCUUUUGGAUCUGAUCUCUUGGAUCUCAUUCCUCAGGCUGAGAGUCUGACAAAUCAGCAUCUUGCAGUGGAAGGGGACACAGUGGCAGCCCCAAUUCCCAUCCCGCCCCAGUCCCCAGGAGGUGAUGAGUGGCACCAGGCCAACUGAUCUUGCUACCAUCAAGGGCCCGCCUGUCUUUGGUAUGGAGGCUCCCCAUAUACAACCUCUGAUAGAGAAGGAGGUUGUGGAACCAGCAUCACUGCGUCACCAGCAUCACAGCGUCACGGCAGCACUCAGUGACAGGGAAACUGUGAAGCUCCUGGCAACAUGAAGGCAGUGGCUCCAACAGUGAGGGCUGUUUCCACCAAGGAUCGCGCACCAUCCUUUAAGAGAUUUUGUAGAAGCUGGUUAGGGUGGAUAUUUCCUCAGAAGAAAGGGGUUCAUCUUCCAGAUGACACCAACAAAUCCGUAAGGGAUCUGAUUUGAGUUUAAUAAAAUCAGGUAAAAUAAUGAUACUAGGUAGAUGUUAAACACAUCUUUCGCAUAAAAAUGUGUUCUUACAGAUUUUUUGGGACGAGUCUAAGCAGCGAUGGGUGGAUUGCAAUCAACCAGAGGAAGAGGUAACGUCUUAAAUGAGUAAUAGGUAUUAAAUAGACAAUCAUUUCUGUGCCACUGAUCUUU